rnacentral:rRNA from 1 species
GAUGAACGCUGGCGGCGUGCCUAAUACAUGCAAGUCGAACGCUGGAAAUCUAGCUUGCUAGAUUGAAGGAGUGGCGAACGGGUGAGUAAUACUUAAGCAACCUACCCAGGAAGACGGGGAUAAUCCCUGGAACCGGGGCCUAAACCCGGUUAGGUAUUCGGAAGCAUUCUUCCGCUUAUUAAAGUUUAAAAACACUGGUGGCUGGGCUUAUGGCGCAUUCGUUCGUUGGGGAGGUAACGGCCCACCAAGACGAUGAUGCGUAGCCGGCCUGAGAGGGGGAACGGGCACAUUGGGACUGGGAAACGGCCCAGACUCCUACGGGAGGGAGCAGUAGGGAAUGUUCGGGAAUGGGAGAAACCCUGACCGAGCAACGCCGCGUGAGUGAUGACGGCCUUCGGGUUGUAAAGCUCUGUUGUAAGGGAAGAACGGUAGAUAGAGAAUAUCUAAAUGACGGUACCUUACCAGAAAGCCACGGCUAACUACGUG